rnacentral:rRNA from 1 species
GGGAGUGAAAUAGAACCUGAAACCCUGCACUUACAAGCUGUGGAAGCACAUUUCUUGUGUGACCGCGUACUUUUUGUAGAACGGGCCAACGAGUUACGUUAAGUAGCAAGGUUAAGCACUUAAGGUGCGGAGCCGUAGCGAAAGCGAGUUUUAACUGGGCGUUCAGUUACUUGACGUAGACCCGAAACCGGGCGACCUACCCAUGGGCAGGAUGAAGCGAAAGUAAAAUUUCGUGGAGGUCCGAACCCACGAGCGUUGAAAAGCUCGGGGAUGACUUGUGGGUAGCGGUGAAAUUCCAAUCGAGCCCGGAGAUAGCUGGUUCUCCCCGAAAUAGCUUUAGGGCUAGCCUCAAGGUGAGAGAUACGGAGGUAGAGCACUGAAUGUCCUAGGGGGUAUUGCACCUA